CUAUACUAUUCAGAGUUUGAUCCUGGCUCAGGACGAACGCUGGCGGCAUGCCUAAUACAUGCAAGUCGAACGAGCAACGCUUCUAACUUGUUAGAAGUUGCGCGAGUGGCGAACGGGUGAGUAACACGUGGGAAACCUACCUUCUAGAGGGGGAUAACAGUCGGAAACGACUGCUAAUACCGCAUAGAGUAGCGGAUCGCAUGAUCCACUAAGGAAAGACGGCUCUGCUGUCGUUAGAAGAUGGUCCCGCGGUGCAUUAGUUAGAUGGUGGGGUAAUGGCCUACCAUGACGAUGAUGCAUAGCCGACCUGAGAGGGUGAUCGGCCACACUGGGACUGAGACACGGCCCAG
rnacentral:rRNA from 1 species